CGCUCGUCCAUGUCCAUUGAGCGUAGAUUGAGGAGAUGGUCUUCCAAAGAUAGCUGUUCUUUGCCUAUAAGUAGAAGCUGUGAUCGAUCGCCAUGUUCAAUAAAGAGCUACAGAUCAAAGAAGGAGAAAAGAAGAGGAGAAAGGAAUGUCAGGGAUUAUCCAUAAGAUCGAGGAGAAGCUCCACAUUGGAGGAGACCACAAGGAGGAGGAACACAAGAAGGACGACAAGCAUCAUCAUAAUGAGCACCGCAAGGAGGAGAAGCACCACAAGGAAGGGGAGGGAGGAAUGAUGAAUAAGAUCAAGGAGAAGAUCCAUGGCGGAGAGGAGCAUGGGGAGAAGAAGGAGAAGAAGAAGAAGAAGGAGAGGAAGCAUGGUGCGGAGCAUGAUGGCCACAGCAGCAGCAGCAGCAGCGACAGCGACUGAGCCAAAUCUUGACGUGGUCUUACAUGGAGAAAUGCUAAGAUGAAAGUGGAUCUAGGAAUGGAGACUUGUGCUACCUUGCUUUUGUGCUUGAUCUUUAUUGUAGUAAUAAUAAAUGUAAUAAUCAUGAAAUAAAUAACUUUAAGUGCUUACUUUUGA